UACGGAGGGUGCAAGCAUUGAUCGGAAUUACUGGGCGUAAAGGGCGCGUAGGCGGUCUGUUAAGUCAGAUGUGAAAUUCCACAGCUCAACUGUGGAACUGCAUUUGAAACUGGCGGACUCGAGCAUAGUUAGGGAAAACGGAAUUCCACAUGUAGCGGUGAAAUGCGUAGAUAUGUGGAAGAACACCGGUGGUGAAGACGGUUUUCUGGGCUAUUGCUGACGCUGAGGCGCGAAAGCUAGGGGAGCAAACAG
rnacentral:rRNA from 1 species